AAACAUUCAGACCACAGCAGAAGGUUGCCCUAAAUUCUGGAGUCGGGGAGGGGGGAAGUAUCGCAAGAAAACAGGAACACUGAAAGACAUGGGCUCCUUCUCAGAUCUUAGAGAACAAAAGAAAGAACUAAAUGGAGAUGUGGGAAUCACAAGGCCAUAGUUUAGGGUCUCGCAGUGCCAUUGGCAACAAAGCCUGAGAGCCUAGGCGAUAGAGGCAGAACACCCAGAGGAGAAGCCCCUUCCCCUUGCACCGUGAGCCUGGUGUUUGCAGCUUGGUAGCAGUGGCAACAGAACAAUCAGCUCUCCUACAAUAAACCAGGGACGGAACAAACAACAGCAGCAGCGGUCGCAGGGAAACAGAAUCUGUGUUGGCGUGCAGGGAGCAGGCAGCGUCUGCAAAGUAGCGCUGGCAACCACAACAGAGAGGCCAGCAACAGGAGGAGCAGGAGGAGCCCAAUGAAGCGUGCUGUGGAGGACAAAGAGCAGCAGAGGCAGGAAGCAGUGACAAGGAGUGAGCUGGGAAAUUCCAGCUGCCCUCCUGUCCUACUUACAAGGAAUAGCCUGGAACAAGUACAGUUGACUCUGAACAAGUCAGGUUUGAACUGCAUGGGUCCACUCAUAUGAAGAUUUCUUUCAACGAAAGCUACCCCGAGUGUGCCUGCCUUUCCUGCCUCCCCUUCCACCUCCUGCACCUCUACCAUCCCUGCCACCCCUAAGACAGCAAGGCCAGUCUCUUCUCUCUCCCCCUCCUCCUUCAGCCUAUUCAACUUGAAGAUGACAAGGAUGAAGAGCUUUAUGAUGAUCUACUUCCCCUUAAUGAACAGUAAAUAUAUUUUUUCUUCCUUACAAUUUUCUUAAUAGCAUUUUCUUUUCUCUAGCUUACCUUAUUGUAAGAAUACAGUGUAUAAUACAUAAAACAUACAAAAUAUGUGUUAAUAAACUGUUUAUGUUAUUGGUAAAGCAUCUGGUCAACAGUAGGCUGUUAGGAAAGUGUGAGGGUAGUCAAAAGUUAAGCUCAGAUUUUUGACUACGCAAGGGUCGGCAUCCCUAAACCCCAAGUUGUUCAAGGUCAACUAUAAUUCCCUAUUACUCCUCACUCUUCCUCCCUCCUUCCUCCUCUUCUUCCUUAUCCCUUCUCCUUCAUUUUCCCCACAGGCUAACUGCAACUCAGCCCACUUCAUUUCCUAAUUUUUCCUCCUCCCUGCAUCCCCCCGAGUCUUUGUGAGAUGCUCUUCCCUUCACUCCUGCCAGCCCUAUGGCAUCAUGGCAUUAUCAUGGUGUAUGGAGAACUUCUGUCUUAUCUGUUUCUCCCACUAACCCAGUGGUUUUCAACUGGAGACAAUUUUGCUCCUCAGGGGACAUUUGGAAAAGUCUGGAGACAUUUUUAAUUGUCACUUCUGGGGAAGGGGGUUGAUACUGUCAUCUACUGAGUAGAAGCCAAGGAUGCUGCUAAACAUCCUACAGUGCACAGGACAGCCCCUCACAAAAAAGGAUUAUCAGGCCCCAAAGGCCAAUAGUGCUAAGGUUGAGAAACUGCACUAGGCUGAGUUCCUUUAAAAUAUGACCCUAUUCAGCGCUGUUCCAGCAGCUCCACAGACAGUGUCCAGUGCCCAGUAGGAAGGAAUCCAAACAGUUUUAAUAUUACAUUUGAAAUUUUAAUUGAAAAACUCUUCUGACAGCUGUAUGUUAUAACUAAUAAGCAAUAUGACCACAUACCACAAUUCAAAGGAAAACCAAUAUCCAGAGGUAAAGGUGGCUUACACCCAUCAGUCUUUGACACUUCCUCCUAUCUAGUUCUCUGUAUUUCUUCCCUUUCUCCUUUUCUCUUGUCCCUGUGCUCACUGUCCCCCUUUACUGUCAUGUUUGUUUGAAUUCCACUUCAAAAUGGGAAUUUGAACAGAGUGCAAUAAAUUGUCCCACAUUUGUUUAUUUUAGGAAAUCAUUGCAUUUAAUUUUAACAUUUAAACAUAUCAAUUAGGCCAGGUGCGGUGGCUCACGCCUGUAAUCCCAGCACUUUGGGAGGCUGAGGCGGGCGGAUCACGAGGUCAGGAAAUCGAGACCAUCCUGGCUAACACGGCGAAACCCCGUCUCUACUAAAAAUACAAAAAAUUAGCCGGGCGUGAUGGCGGGCGCCUGUAGUCCCAGCUACUUGGGGAGCCGAGAUCGCGCCACUGCACUCCAGCCUGGGAGACAGAGCAAGACUCCGUCUCAAAAAAAAAAAAACUUAUCAAUUACUGGGUGACAUGCUGUGCACUGCAAGAAAAACAAAGAUAAAUAGGAAACUGGGACUAUCCUAACUGGGGGAGAUUUCUGUAGCAGUAGAAAAGUAGAGGAAAUAUAGUUUUAUUUCACUAAUGUGAUUAGGGAAUAUCUCAUGGAGAAAGUCUUCGAUUUAGGUCUUCACACAUGUUUCAUAAAGAAUGUUAACACACCACACAUAGGUAAUAAUGUUGUCUUUCCUUACCUGGCAUCAUUAUGAGGGCCACUUUUUGGGGCAAUGAUUCCUAAAUUUCAGCAACUCCUGGAGGGCUUGUGAAAGAAAGCACAGAUUGCUGGGUUCUGCCCUCAUAGUUUCUGAGGCAGUAGGUCUUCGGUGAAAUCAGAAAACUGGUGUUUCUUUUUUCUUUUUUUUUUUGUGACGGAGUCUUGCUCUGUCACCCAGGCUGGAGCGCAAUGGCGUGAUUUCAGCUCACUGCAACCUCCGCCUUCCGGGUUCAAGCGAUUCUCCCGCCUCAGCCUCUGAGUAGAUGGGAAACAGUCGCGCGCCAUCAUGUUUUUGUAGAGGCGGGGUUUCACUCUAUUGGCCAGGCUGAUCUUGAACUCCUGACCUCAGGUGAUCCGCCCACCUCAACCUCCUGAAGUGCUGGGGUUAUAGGCGUGAGCCACGGCGCCUGUUUGUUUUUUUUUUUCUAAUCAGAGGUUUUGCUCUUGUCGCCCAGGCUGGAGUGCAAUGGUGUGAUCUUGUCUCACUGCAACUUCUGCCUCCCAGGUUCAAGUGAUUCUCCUGCCUCAGCCUCCCAAGUAACUGUGAUUUCAGGUGCCCGCCACUACACCCGGCUAAUUUUUGUAUUUUUAGUAGAGGCGGGGUUUUGCCAUGUUGGCCAGGCUGGUCUCAAAACUCCUGACCUCAGGAGUUCGGCCUCCGAAAGUGCUGGGAUUACAGGCAUGAGCCACUGUGCCCGGCCUAGAAAACUGGUGUUUCCAACAAGUCCUUUGGUGCUGCUGGUGCUACUGCGGGCCUUCUGAGGAGACUUUGAGAACCGCUGCAUCAGGAUUAUCAGCCUGGUAACUCCUGGCCGAAGAAAUGCACACCCUUCAUUUGGCUAAAAGAAAGAAUUUCCAAUAUUCAUAAAGAAAACACAACUUGUGGGUUCUCCAAGCAGGAGAGGAAAAAUCAUGUUCCAGUCUAUUCCUGUAACUAAUGAAGGGCUCAGGUUUCAAAGACCCUCUGUCCUUUGGCCUGUACUGGAGUCUGACUUGUCCAGCAGCACAUUGUCCUCGUGGUGAAUUCUCUUAUCAGAGAUGAAAACAACGGGCUCAGAAAGUUCAAGUAAUUUGCCCAAGAUUACACAGAAAGUAAGUGGCAGAACCGGGAUUAGGAACCAUGUGUCAAAUGCCACACCUAUGUUCUGUCUCCUAAUCUGCCCUGUGGCCUGGGACUGUGCACUAGUCAAGACACAGUGACUAGAAAUCUUAUCGGAAGUUGGGAUAUUUCGGUUUAACUCAAUACUUAUUCUCAUUGUUCUCCUGGCUUUCCCAAAGAUUGACUUUCAUGCACCUUUUAUUCACAUUUGUGUCUCCUAUUGAGCAAAUUCACUAUCUAACCUUGGCCACAAUCCCCUUUCAGCUCUUGGCCUCCUGUCAACACACUUCUAUCAUUUGACACCCCCAUCUUCACAUCCCUCAUCCUCAUCCAUCC
rnacentral:lncRNA from 10 species